rnacentral:rRNA from 1 species
GUUGAACGCUGGCGGCAGGCCUAACACAUGCAAGUCGAGCGAGCGGCGGACGGGUGAGUAAUGUAUGGGGACUGCCCGGUAGAGGGGGCUAACUACUGGAAACGGUAGCUACUAACGCAUCCUAUCGGAUAACACAUAUGGGAUUCGCUAGGAGGUGAGGUAAUGGCUCACCUAGACGACGAUCCCUAGCUGGUCUGGUAGGAUGAUCAGCCACACUGGAACUGAGACACGGCCCAGACUCCUACGGAGGCAGCGGUGGGGAAGAUGGCACAAUGGGCGCAAGCCUGAUGCAGCCAUGCCGCGUGUAUGAAGAAGUCCCGAGGGUUGUAAAGUACUUUCAGUCGGGAGGCGUUACCGACAGAAGAAGCACCGGCUAACUCCGUGCCAGCAGCCGCGGUAAUUC